CCUACGGGAGGCUGCAGUGAGGAAUAUUGGUCAAUGGACGAGAGUCUGAACCAGCCAAGCAGCGUGAAGGAUGACUGCCCUAUGGUUUGUAAACUUCUUUUAUAUGGGAAUAAAACAGGGUAUGCAUACCCUCCUGUAUGUACCAUUGAAUUAGGAUCCGCUAACUCCGUGCCAGAGGCCGCGGUCAUACGGAGGAUUCCAGCGUUUGUCGGUAUUUGUUGGUUUUAAGGGAACGUAGGUGGAUUGGUUAGUUAGUUGUGAAAGUUUGCGGGUCAACCGUAAAAUUGCAGUUGAGACUGGCAGUCUUGAGUACAGUAGAGGUGGGCGGAAUUCGUGGUGUAGCGGUGAAAUGCUUAGAUAUCACGAAGAACUCCGAUUGCGAAGGCAGCUCACUGGACUGCAACUGACGCUGAUGCUCGAAAGUGUGGGUAUCAAACAGGAUUAGAUACCCUAGUAGUC
rnacentral:rRNA from 1 species